rnacentral:lncRNA from 1 species
UGCCUCGAUCAAAGAAUGUGAUUUCUAAGGAAAUCAAAGAAAGCACAUGAAAUAGUCAUAUAUCUAUCAAGAAACCAUUUUUAAACAAGAAAGAUACUUUCAUGUUCCAUAACCUUCACAUUAGAAGUCAUACCUCCUAAAACGCCAUCAUUCUGACAUUUCUAAAUGUAUCAUAUAUACCACUGAGUGUUAGAUCAUGGUAAGGUCACCUCUAAUCUUAGUCACCCCAUCUAAGAAAAUAAAAAGUCAAAUAAGAGACGAUGGGUCCCUAGGGAGAACUCAAAGUCACCAUAACCAUCUAAAGAUCAUAUAUUACACAAAAGUUGUCAAAUCACGGGUAAUGAACAAAUGAGAAAUUGAUUCAAUUGACGCGCUACACAAAACACAUAAGAAUCUCUUAGGAUAAACAAGGACCUUCCUCUUAAACAAGUUAAUCCUAAUGGAAAUCUUAUCUUGUAUGAGUUUUCAAGAGAAAGAAACAACUUUAGAAUGAGGCAACCACUUUAAUUCGACCAAAACUAGUUACGCACUAAUUAAGAUCAUCGCCUCUUCCCGAUUCCAUGUUUUGUAGGAAUCAAAUUUUAGUCUUUCUACUGUAAAUUUUGCUUUUGUUGAUGCGUAUUUAGUAAAAAAAAUUGUUUUUUAAGAUUUGUUUGAUUCAAAAAAUUGUGGGUACUAGACAAAAUAGUAAAUCAUUUUUUUUUAUAAAUUGAAUACAUUUUUGUUUUGCAAGAUGUUUAGUGGAUAAUAGACAACACAAAUAAAAUAGUGAAAUUUAUUAUAACACAAAUUAAUAGAGAAGGGAGACUUGGGAGAAAAAUAGAAAACAAAAAGAGAGAUAUUAGAAGGAUAGACACAUGAUUUAAGAGAUGUUAAAUCUUGUCUUGUCAAGCAUCCUGAUUUAUCAAUUGUCCUUUUGCAAGAUUCCAAAUAUUAUUGAGAAGGAG